GGGGUCAGUAGGUCGGUCGUGCCACUGGUAUGAACUGGUUUUACUGAUUCCUCCCUCUUGAAGAACUGUAAUGCCAUUAAUUUGGUGUUGCAGGGAAUCAGGACUGUUACUUUGAAAAAAUUAGAGUGUUUAAAGCAGGCUUUAGCUUGAAUACAUUAGCAUGGAAUAAUGAAAUAGGACGUUUGAUCCUAUUUUGUUGGUUUCUAGGAUUGACGUAAUGAUUAAUAGGGAUAGUUGGGGGCAUUAGUAUUCAAUUGUCAGAGGUGAAAUUCUUGGAUUUAUUGAAGACUAACUACUGCGAAAGCAUUUGCCAAGGAUGUUUUCAUUAAUCAAGAACGAAAGUUAGGGGAUCGAAGACGAUCAGAUACCGUCGUAGUCUUAACCAUAAACUAUGCC
rnacentral:rRNA from 1 species